CCUACGGGCGGCAGCAGUGGGGAAUAUUGGACAAUGGGCGAAAGCCUGAUCCAGCCAUGCCGCGUGUGUGAAGAAGGCCUUCGGGUUGUAAAGCACUUUCAGUGGGGAAGAAAGCCUUGGGGCUAAUACCCUCGAGGAAGGACAUCACCCACAGAAGAAGCACCGGCUAACUCCGUGCCAGCAGCCGCGGUAAUACGGAGGGUGCGAGCGUUAAUCGGAAUUACUGGGCGUAAAGCGCGCGUAGGCGGUCUGAUAAGCCGGUUGUGAAAGCCCCGGGCUCAACCUGGGAACGGCAUCCGGAACUGUCAGGCUAGAGUGCAGGAGAGGAAGGUAGAAUUCCCGGUGUAGCGGUGAAAUGCGUAGAGAUCGGGAGGAAUACCAGUGACGAAGGCGGCCUUCUGGACUGACACUGACGCUGAGGUGCGAAAGCGUGGGUAGCAAACAGGAUUAGAUACCCCAGAGUC
rnacentral:rRNA from 1 species